CCCGUUAAUUUGAACAGGUGCUGUCGUUGGGGCUCCUGUUGUUCUGGGAGUAGUAGGAGCCGUAGGUUUCACCUCAGCUGGAAUAGCAGCAGGCUCCUAUGCUGCUGGCAUGAUGUCGGCUGCUGCAGUUGCUAACGGAGGAGCAGUGGCAGCAGGAAGUACAGUGGCUGUUUUGCAGGCAGCAGGUGCAGCUGGUCUGUCAGGAGCUGCCACUGCAGCUGCGACUGGAGCUGGAGCAGCAGUGGGAUGGCUGGCUGCCAUAAUUAUCUAAAAAAUCAAGAUGGAACAAGAUGAAGAUUUUUACUUUUGCCAAGUGAAGGAGGCAACUGCAAAUUAUAUCAGUUCACUUAAAAAACAGCACUUUUGUCUUAUCAGGCAACUGAAAUGUUUUGUGCAAUAAAUCUGUGUGACCUGUGAAAGAUA